GGAGAGGUCGCGUAGCCCGGCUUAGCGCGCACGCUUGGAAAGCGUGUAACCCAAAAAGGUUCGCGGGUUCGAAUCCCGCCCUCUCCGCCA
rnacentral:tRNA from 1 species